CGCUGAGUUUCCACAGUAUUACAUCAAGACCAUGAGCCACAGUUUAUGGGUCCAAGGAGACAGGUUGGAAGAGUGUUAGGAUCUAUUUUAGUUUUGCAGCUUCGGCCCAGUUACUGUUUUCUCAGGAGUUCCUCAACUUUGCCUCCUGCGGAAGCGGCUUCAGUCUCGGAUCGCUCAGAACCAAGUGCGCAUGUGCAACUGUUAGCAACCCCCUGCUCCUACUGCAGUAAAUACGCAAACACAUGCCAACCCAGAUGGAAAAGUGGUUUGAGGCAGGGCGUGCCUUAAUUAGCUGCCUGAGGGACCAGAGGUUCGGGUAUGACUCAUGGGAGUCCUUAGCUUCGAGCCACCCAGAGGAUGUCCUGAAUUACCCAAGUUGCCAUCUGGAAAUGUCGCUGUGGAAUGUUACAGACAUCAGCUGCCAGAGCUCAGUUCAGGCCCCUCUUCCUAGAAG
rnacentral:lncRNA from 1 species